GCUAGUGUAGCUUAAAUCAAAGCAUAACCUUGAAGACGUUAAGAUGAGCCCUAAAAAGCCCCACGAGCA
rnacentral:tRNA from 1 species